rnacentral:lncRNA from 1 species
GAAGAAACAGAGGGGGGGGUCCUGGUGCCCCCAUUGCCCUGCCGGGCUGCGCUUCGGAGCAGGAGACCGAAAGCCUUGGGCGUGAGCGUGGGCACGGCGUGUGCAAGGCGUGUGCAAGGCACACGAGUGUAAGCCCAGCGUGUGCAAGGCGUGCAAGCGUGGGUACCCAACAGCCGGGGCGCACAGCAGUGGAGGAGCACGCGUGGGUUUUCCAGGCACCCCCUGCCCCUGCGCUCUCCUGGGGCGCCGGGCACGUCCCCGGUGCCGGUGCUGCUCGCCGUCACCCGGCCGUGUGGCACCGGGUGCUCCGUCCCAACCACCUCCCCCCCACGUCUGUGGUCCCUGCGGCGGGGCAGCAGCCCUGACCCCAUUGCCUGCCACCCAUGGGUGCCCCUGAAAUCGGGGUGCGCCCGCUUCGCCCCUGCCGAGCUUUGCAAUUUGCCCUCACCCCAGGCAGCCCGGAGCGCCGUGCUCUGCUCGAGCGCUCUCGGAGCUCGCUGGCAGCAAACGGGGCUCCGAGUCUGACCCGGAGCAUGGGGAAAGGCGUGAAUCCCCAGAGAUUAGAGGGUUGGGUUGUUGGUUUUUUUUUUUUUUUUUUUUUUUUUUUCUCCACAAAGCCAUUCAGGGCCUGGAAAGGCUGCCUCUGUCCCCUCGAACCAGUCCGGCUCGCCGGCACUGCUAUGCAAAUCGGUCAGAGCUUUUGCAGGCGACAUUGGGACCUGGAUGUGCAGGAGCUGCCGGGAAAUGGUUUCCUGGCCAUCCCCGUGUACAAAGCUGCAGGACGCCGUGCGCCCCCUCCCAGGGUCCGAGCCGCCCCCCGGCCUCCAGCGCCGUGCGCCGCGGCCGCAUGCAGGUACCUAGGCCCCGAGGGACUGCGGGGAACGGGAGAGGAGAAGCAAAUGGGGCGGGUGGAUUUCAUCGGGGACCCGUGCACGCUUCCAGCAGGAAGCCUUGGCCGAGCUGGACUUGACCUGGGGCUGUGCCGAGGUGGCCUCAAGCCUGGAACCCUCCAGCUCCAAAGCUGGACCUCCACGCAUGCCUCCCUCUCCCCAUCCUUCCCUCUCUUUCCAUCCCUUUCUCCCUCUCUCCCUCUCCGUCUCUUCCUCCUUCUCCAUCCCUGCCUCCCUCUCUAGCUCUCCCCUUCCCCUCCAUCCCUUUCCCCGUCCGUCCCCAUCUCUCCCCCGCUGCGGCUCCGGCCCCAUUCCCAUGGAGGGGACAGCCCGUGUCGCCCUGCAGAGCCACGAAGGGCAGAUUUGAAAUGAUCCAAAUGAGCUUUUCCACCUUAAAUCGUAUUUUUGCCUCUUCUCUGCCCUAAAAAAAUCCCACAGCCCUUGAGGGAAAGCCCCUGACUGCCCCCAGGUUGGGUAUUUUCCCCACCACAUCCCUUUAUACAGCGUUCUCCAAUCUCGGUGUUUUUGUCCCAUUUCAGUCGCGUGUUGGUGCCAUCACCCCCGGAUCGCUCCCCGGCCGGGAAGCCACCUCGAGACGUCCCCGAAGACCCCAAAGAUGUGCCGGUGGCUGGAGCGAAGGGAAAAAGGGACCAAAAACCUACCGGGACCGGCCGCCCCGGUGUGCCCCGUGCCCCCCGGCCCCGCGGAUAAUAGCGGGGCUGCGGGGGCGAUUUCACGGAGAUUAACCCCGCGCCUCGCGCUGGGGCUGCCGCUGCCCUCGACACCACUCCCCGAGUGUAUCAAAGGCGGAUUACAACCAGAUCAGCCCCGUGGCCGGAUUUAUUAGCGGCAAUUUAUCACGCGGAGGCAGCCGGGGAGGGUGGAAGGCCAAGGGCAGGGGCGGAGGAGCCCGGCCUCCCUGCGGGGACCCGCGGCAUCGGCGGGGAGACCCCGGUUGAAUUUUUGGGACGGGGUCGCUGUUUCCUCCCAGUUCCCCAAGGAUUUUGGUGCAGGUUGGGAAAAAGCAGCUCAAGGCGGGGAAGAGGGGAAGCCUUCAGCCUCGCCGCACACCGGGGCUGGGGAAGGGGGACGGGCGCCCGGCACCGCUCUGGGAGGGCCGGAGGGUGCCGAAGCCCCUCGGGGCCGGGGACGUCGCACGGGGCACACCCAUGGGGCACACGGAGUGUGGCACGAGGCUCACACCGAUGCCACCAGACCCCAGCGGCCACCCCGGGCACCCCCAGCCCCUGCGGCGCGGGGACACCCGGCUGCGGGCGCGCGGCUCAGUCGGGGGAAGGAGCCUGGAAGAGGUUAAAGUGGGGCGAGCGGGGAGAGAAGCCUCGGAACGGGGCGUUUUAAUGACAUUCCAUUAAAGCUCCCUUUGGGGCCAGCGCGGCCGCCAUGUGCUCCACAUUCUCAUGGUAAUUAUGAGACAUCUGUAUAGAGGCUCUUUUCUCAUCAAAGAUGGCUCUCUUCAAAGACACUCCUGGGAAACCCUUCACCUCUGACCCGGGGGGUCAGCGCUGAAACAGUGGCUCUAUAGUGCGCGUUACUGUAAAGCCGAGUAUCCUUUUUCCUCCGCUAACCUGACCAGGUCCCGGCUUUUCAUGCGGGCCCGCGUUGAGCCGAGGGGGUGGGGGGCACCGGUUCGGGGACGGGUCCCCCCCCCACCCCUCCGGCGGUCACCGUUUCGGCAGCCCCGGCCACGGGUGCCGCCGCCGCCCGCGCUGACCCCGGCCGUGGCGAUCAAAGCGGGAAGAAAAGGGUUUUAAUGAGUGGGGCCGGGGCGGCGUUCUCCCUUCCCGAUGUCCUCCUCCCCGCUGCGCCACGGCAAAUCCCACCCCGGCUCCUGCGCCAAGUCCCUGGGGGUGAUUUUGGGGGGUCAUGAUACGAAAACAGCCCUCUCCAAACGGUGUUCCCAUUGCCGGGGACGUGCUCCACGGUGCCACCGGGCUCAACGCCGGUUCUGCAGCGUGGCGAGGCCACCCCGUGUCCCCGCAUCCCACGGGGACGUUUCCACCCCAAACAGCAUCGCCGCCCUCGGUGUCCCCCGGGUGCCACCUCCCCGGGGCAGGGGACAGCGGGGCGGAGGGGACGGGUGCUUGGCGGUCCCUCCCUUGGGGUGGCUCCGUCCCUCCGGCACGGCAGCGGCGCACGAUCCCCGCGGCCCUUUCCAAUAAGUGGCAAAUGAUUCUUCGUCCUGUCGCUCCCCGGCGGCAAUAAACCUUAAUCACAAUGAAGUCAUUUGAUUUCCGCGUCCUGUAAUCGCGCGGCGAUUUGGCGUUAAUUAACGAGCGCUUACGGGAAGGGACGGCUGCGGGAGAGAGCGCUGCGCUUUUCC